rnacentral:lncRNA from 1 species
AUCAUGGGAGGACUUGUAAUCAUGAAACUAUUAUUAAUCAGUGGUGUGCUUUCAGUGUAACCCAAGCAGAAGUUACAAAGAAAUAGAUUAUUGCACAGGUGAAAAAUAAGAUGACUGUUCCAGUUGACAACAGUAUUCUUAGUUUACAGGCGGGAUUUAAAUACAGCUAUUGAAAUGUCUAAUGUUUCUUAGCCCGUGUACACCCAUGAAAGAAAGUGUAUAAUUUAAGUGAUUAAAGUCUACAAAAACUAUGUGAAGCUUUAUAGCUACAUAACUUUAGACAUUUCUCUUUGAAAAUGUAAGAUAUCAGAAAUAUGAGAAGAAAAUUCUCAGAAAUUUCAAAUAGCAGCAGAC